AUGCACGCUUUCACACUGCAAAAAUGAUUCAUGAAUUGUUUGAGGAACAUGAAAAAGUUUAAGGUGUUGCCUUGGCCUCCAAAUUCUUCAAAACUCAAUCCGACUGAGCAUCUGUGAGAUGUACUGGAUCUGAUCCAUGGAGUCAACAUCUUGCAAUUUGCAGAACUUAAAGGAUCUGCUGCCAAUGUCUUGGUGCCAAAAAC